rnacentral:rRNA from 1 species
AGGGUUUGAUCAUGGCUCAGGACGAACGCUGGCGGCGUGCCUAAUACAUGCAAGUAGAACGCUGAAGAGAGGAGCUUGCUCUUCUUGGAUGAGUUGCGAACGGGUGAGUAACGCGUAGGUAACCUGCCUGGUAGCGGGGGAUAACUAUUGGAAACGAUAGCUAAUACCGCAUAAUAGCAGUUAUUGCAUGAUAACUGUUUGAAAGGUGCAAAUGCAUCACUACCAGAUGGACCUGCGUUGUAUUAGCUAGUUGGUGGGGUAACGGCUCACCAAGGCGACGAUACAUAGCCGACCUGAGAGGGUGAUCGGCCACACUGGGACUGAGACACGGCCCAG